rnacentral:rRNA from 1 species
AUACGGAGGAUCCGAGCGUUAUCCGGAUUUAUUGGGUUUAAAGGGUGCGCAGGCGGCCAUUUAAGUCAGCGGUUAAAUCGUGGGGCUCAACCCCAUUCUGCCGUUGAUACUGGGUGGCUUGAUUGCGGUCGAGGUUGGCGGAAUUCGUUGUGUAGCGGUGAAAUGCAUAGAUAUGACGAAGAACACCGAUUGCGUAGGCAGCUGACCAGAUCGCAAAUGACGCUCAUGCACGAAAGUGCGGGGAUCGAACAGGAUUAGAUACCCUGGUAGUCCGCACAGUAAGCGAUGAAUACUUGUUUUCGGCGAUAUAAUGUCGGAGGCAAAGCGAAAGCGAUAAGUAUUCCACCUGGGGAGUACGCCGGCAACGGUGAAACUCAAAGGAAUUGACGGGG